rnacentral:rRNA from 1 species
UACGUAGGGUGCAAGCGUUAAUCGGAAUUACUGGGCGUAAAGCGUGCGCAGGCGGUUAUGCAAGACAGAUGUGAAAUCCCCGGGCUUAACCUGGGAACCGCAUUUGUGACUGCAUAGCUGGAGUACGGCAGAGGGGGAUGGAAUUCCGCGUGUAGCAGUGAAAUGCGUAGAUAUGCGGAGGAACACCGAUGGCGAAGGCAGUCCCCUGGGCCAGCACUGACGCUCAUGCACGAAAGCGUGGGGAGCAAACAGG